GCAUUGCUGAGGAGUUCCACAAUAGGACGAAACGGCCGUCCAGUGC
rnacentral:hammerhead_ribozyme from 1 species